AACGAACGCUGGCGGCAUGCCUAACACAUGCAAGUCGAACGAGACCUUCGGGUCUAGUGGCGCACGGGGGCUUAACGAGUGGUGACCUGCACUUAAGUUCGGAAUACCUCCCCGAGAGGGGUGCUAAUGCCGGAUAAUGUCUUCGCACCAAAGAUUUAUCGCCUUAGGAUGGGCCCGCGUUGGAUUCGCUAGUUGGUAGUGUAAAAGCCUACCAACGCGACGAUUCAUAGCUGGUCUGAGAAGAUGAUCAGCCACACUGGGACUGAGACACGGCCCAGCCUCCGACGGGAGGCAGCAGUAGGGAAUAUUGGACAAGGGACGAAAGCCUGAUCCAGCAAUGCCGCGUGAGUGAGGAAUGCCUUAGGGUUGUAAAUCUCUCUUACCCGGGAUGAGAAUGACAGUACCGGGAGAAUAAGCUCCGGCUAACUCCGUG
rnacentral:rRNA from 1 species